rnacentral:lncRNA from 1 species
UUUUUUUUUUAUCAUCCUUACCUGAAUUUAAAUGCUAGUCUAGAGAUACUUUAGUUGAAAUUAUGCCUUUUCCUUAGGGAUAUUUCAUAUUUAAUUUUCAUUUGACUGAGUGGCCAUGUUGUUGUAAGCAACAACAUGAGGAGCACAUUAACAUGAGGAGCACAUUAACAUGAGGAGCACAUCAACAUGAGGAGCACAGUAACAUGAGGAGCACAGUGACAUGAGGAGCACAGUGACAUGAGUAGCACAUCAACAUGAGAAGCACAGUAACAUGAGGAGCACAUUAACAUGAGGAGCACAGUAACAUGAGGAGCACAUCAACAUGAGGAGCACAGUAACAUGAGGAGCACAGUAACAUGAGGAGCACAGUAACAUGAGGAGCACAGUGACAUGAGGAGCACAUCAACAUGAGGAAAACAUCAACAUGAGGAGCACAGUAACAUGAGGAGCACAGUAACAUGAGGAGCACAGUAACAUGAGGAGCACAUUAACAUGAGGAGCACAGUAACAUGAGGAGCACAGUAACAUGAGGAGCACAUUCAAGUAACACUUUACAUAGAAGGCUAAGUGAACACAGCGAGAAAGCCUCAUUUAACUUGUAGACUAACCAUUAGUACUCGACUGAUAUGUGAGAUUGUUCUGUUUUUGUUUACUGUAGUAGCUGUUUUGGAUCUAAUUCCUGUCCACUGCAGCAGGAAUGCUGUCUUAUGGUGUCUUAUUGAUUUUUGAUUGGGGGAACAUCUUGUACACAGUUAUGCUUCUGGGUUGGGUCACCUGUCUGUUGGUUAGAAAUGGGUCUGUUGGUUAGGGACGAGUCUGUUGGUUAGAGGGACGGGUCUGUUGGUUAGGGACGGGUCUGUUGGUUAGAGUGACGGGUCUGUUGGUUAGAGGGACGGGUCUGUUGGUUAGAGGGACGGGUCUGUUGGUUAGAGGGACGGGUCUGUUGGUUAGAGGGACGGUCUGUUGGUUAGGGACGGGUCUGUUGGUUAGAGGGACGGGUCUGUUGGUUAGGGAUGGGUCUGUUGGUUAGAGGGACGUGUCUGUUGGUUAGAGUGACGGGUCUGUUGGUUAGAGGGACGGGUCUGUUGGUUAGAAACAGGUCUGUUGGUUAGAAUGACGGGUCUGUUGGUUAGAGUGACGGGUCUGUUGGUUAGGGACGGGUCUGUUGGUUAGAGUGACGGGUCUGUUGGUUAGAGGGACGGGUCUGUUGGUUAGAGUGACGGGUCUGUUGGUUAGGGACGGGUCUGUUGGUUAGAGGGAC